CACCAGUCUCGGGGGACGCCUGCUAGAACAAGACCUCGGGCUGGGUGUCGCGAUGUGAGACGCGCGAUACGACCUGGCUUACCUGCAUCGGCUUCACUUUGUCCUUGCAGUUAAUCGUUACCAUGGAUACCAGAGGAGGAGAAACAAAGGACAAAAUGAAGAAUAUAACGAAAAUCGCCGUUAGCCCAAGACAGAUCUUGUGUGUUCUGAUAGUCGCUUGCACGCCAACCCUCAACGGCAUGCUCAGCGGGUGGACGGCUGUGUUGCCCAAGUUGCAGGAGGACUCAAGCAGGUUCACGGUGACGGUUCAGGACGUCACUUGGUUAG